GUUACACUUAUGUUGCCUUGUGUUACUCGUGCGUCCUUGUGCUUCCCGGUUUGUGUUUUUUCACUUAACUUGUUACCUUGUUUUUGUAUUUGAUUAGCUUUUAGAAAUAAAGCUCUCUUUUUGUUUAACCUCAUCGGGUGUUCUGCAUCCACCUCUUCACCUAGUCGUAACAAAUAUGGCAUCAAACGUGCGGGUGUGUGGCCCAGUGGUCAGACGGCAGGCAGCCAGAGGUUUGGCUCGUUUGGAAGGACCAGCUCAGGCCUGAUUACUGGGCCGUCCUCGCAGGAGGAGUUCUCAAGUCCGAAAGAUUAGGAGCUCUUCCAGAAACCACAGUGAGAGGAGAGAACAUCAACAAAAAGGGCUUCGGUAAAACAUUUUUCAAUUUAGAUUGUAGUUGCAACUGAAAUAUUUAAUUGGCAAAGAAAGAAAGUGAUGCUCCAGUUCAGUUAUUCUGGAGAUCCAAUGAGAGCAGCACUUGGACCAUUGAGAAGAGACUGCUUUUCUCCUAAGCCCUGGCCUGAAGGAAGAGGAAAAAAACUUGUGACUGAACGGCAACAGAUUCAAGUUUCUAAGCAGCUGAGAAGAUGUGCUUGGAGCACUGAAUGCAGUGUCACUCUCUUUCCUCAACAACACUGCAGAUGACGUGUUGAGUUAGUCACAACCAGCAUCACUGUUUGAUUUUCAAAGGUUGUCUUAAAAAUAUAAAUAUGUUUUUAAAUUAUGCUUAAAAAUGGGAAGCACAUUCCCACAUUUUGUUUAUAUGGGAAUACAAUGUUGAGAGCAUGAAGGUGAUUGGCUGGACGGAGAAUAGAAGACAAGACCAGAGAGCAAUACGCACUAUACGGUUUUCACAAUAAAUUCAGACAUUUGUUAUUUUAAAAACAAACAUUAAAUCUCACAAAAACAAGUGGACAUUUUUUCUUAUUUCCUCUUUUACCGCUGCAAUAUUUAACCUUUUUCAAAUACAACCAUCUUGUAUAACACACAGCCUGGGCAAGUUUUGAGCAAAUGCUUAAAAAGUGCCGUUGUUUUAUAGAUUGUUGUUUACUAUAUAGAGAUGUCAAAUGUUUUUCAGUGAUGAUAGUAUCUGCCAUUUAUCCACUCCCGAAAAUGUAAGAUAUUGGGUGAAAUGCUUAUUUUGGCAAGGAAACUUCAAUGAAAGAAACACAGAGAGGGUUUUCCUCUCUAUUGUUUCACUUGUGAAUCACACGGUAUUGCAAUUAACUAUUGCAAUUGGUGUCUGAUAUGUACUUCCAAUAAAUGUAACAUUAACAAUCCCACUCAAUGGUAAAGUCAUGGUGUUCUUCAGCACAAGGCUUAUUCUCAAUUCCCUUAACCUUGAAUGGGGAACUUCCCCCCCUCUGGAGUCAGAUAAUGUUUGGUAAGAUUCCAUAUUUGAUUAUCACCAACAUUUAUUACCACCAUCUCCACAGCUUCAGUAUCUGCUGUGCAAUUCUUGUAUUCAGUGGUAGUGAAUAAGCCUUAUAGUAACACAUUCCACCCAUAAUAAUACAUGGAUGAAAAUGAAAAGAAAUCUAUUGUUUUUUAAAAUGUAAAUCACACUGGAACUUGUAAUUUUAACUAAAUUACCAACAUCAUACAUUAAUUUUAUAAUUACUAAAUCAACCGUUCACUUUGUCCUUUUAGCAACAGGCUACUUUUAGAAUGCCAUGUGUAAAAUAAAGCAUGCCGUUCAAGCUUUCAUCUGUGCACAGGGAGGACACAACACAAUGAAAGUAAUAAACACAUGCCACAUUACACAAAGAAUGGAUCUUUGUAAAAUAGUGAUUGUGUUUUGAAACUAUACCCUUCAAAUAAUCACAUUUCAAUUGCGCCAUAAGGAGGAAAAACAA